ACGUUUGACAAGAAACACCAGUUCUCUUCCGGUCACUGAAGUCAAGCAACUUCAGUCCCGGUUAGUACUGACAUCGAUGAGCACCUGGGAAUACCCUAUUACCACUGAUACG
rnacentral:rRNA from 1 species